AGUGAACGCUGGCGGUAGGCCUAACACAUGCAAGUCGAACGGCAGCACAGUAAGAGCUUGCUCUUACGGGUGGCGAGUGGCGGACGGGUGAGGAAUACAUCGGAAUCUACUUUUUCGUGGGGGAUAACGUAGGGAAACUUACGCUAAUACCGCAUACGACCUACGGGUGAAAGCAGGGGAUCUUCGGACCUUGCGCGAUUGAAUGAGCCGAUGUCGGAUUAGCUAGUUGGCGGGGUAAAGGCCCACCAAGGCGACGAUCCGUAGCUGGUCCGAGAGGAUGAUCAGCCACACUGGAACUGAGACACGGUCCAGACUCCUACGGGAGGCAGCAGUGGGGAAUAUUGGACAAUGGGCGCAAGCCUGAUCCAGCCAUACCGCGUGGAUGAAGAAGGCCUUCGGGUUGUAAAGCCCUUUUGUUGGGAAAGAAAAGCAGCAGGUUAAUACCCCGCUGUUCUGACGGUACCCAAAGAAUAAGCACCGGCUAACUUCGUG
rnacentral:rRNA from 1 species